GUAAUACAGUUCCCAGGGAACAUCUUACACCCACCCGCACACUAAAGGUUUCCUGUUCAACCUUUCCUCCCAGAACAGGAUGAGGUAGGAUUCCACAAGCAGCUGUCUGUGAACCGGGAAGAUCCUCAGCCGACUGGGAAUGUCAGGAAUUCCACAGUCCUCAGGGUUCCUGCACUCCUCCUGACCUUUGGUUGGUCAUGAGAGUGAACAUCAGGGGGAGCUCAAGAGCUGUGUGUGGACUCUUGACUGAAGCUGCAUACCUGCAUGACGGUUUGGAGAGCAUGUUGGGAUAUUCACAGACUCCGUUGACGCAGUAGUUUUUAUAGUGUUCUGGACAGGGUAUGUAAAGUCCUCGUGCCACUUCUGACACCUCAGGCUUCUCUUCUACAACACACACAUGUGCACAAGGUUACCAUUAAGCUUGAGCGUAAAAGAUCUGUGAUUAUUGUAACAAUGAAUGGAAUCAUCAGAAAAAUUUCUGCAUAAUGUAAUCAAUAAAGUCAUUCAGAGUG